AACGAACGCUGGCGGCAUGCCUAACACAUGCAAGUCGAACGAGACCUUCGGGUCUAGUGGCGCACGGGUGCGUAACGCGUGGGAACUUGCCCUUAGGUUCGGAAUAACUCCCCGAAAGGGGUGCUAAUACCGGAUAAUUUCUUCGGACCAAAGAUUUAUCGCCUUUGGAUGGGCCCGCGUUGGAUUAGCUAGUUGGUAGGGUAAAAGCCUACCAAGGCGACGAUCCAUAGCUGGUCUGAGAGGAUGAUCAGCCACACUGGGACUGAGACACGGCCCAGACUCCUACGGGAGGCAGCAGUGGGGAAUAUUGGACAAUGAGCGAAAGCCUGAUCCAGCAAUGCCGCGUGAGUGAUGAAGGCCUUAGGGUUGUAAAGCUCUUUUACCCGGGAUGAUAAUGACAGUACCGGGAGAAUAAGCUCCGGCUAACUCCGUG
rnacentral:rRNA from 1 species